AUCGAAUCUGGCGCUAGUUAGUAUGCGUUCGUACGCGGAACAGCUCGUUGUUUGCUAACGUUGCCACACCGAACCGAGGCAUGUCUUAUCUUAUCGCCAUACUCCAGAGUAUGCAAACAAAACAAGAACGUGAAUGACUGUGGAGGGUUUUGGAACCAUUGCGAAAGCGUUCGGUUUCAUUCAGUCAGCACCCGUAAACGCGAUGCGCGCUUCGCACUAGUGGUGUUAAUUUUACUUCGGAAUUUUUUGCGAACAGUUAUGUUGCGUCACAGCCUACUAUUGCUUUUGCCUCUUGUGCUGGUUUUGCUGAUAAGUGGCGUACCGUUUCGUCCAACCGUAGCCGACAGCACGGUACCAUUAGCAGAGCGCGCAGCGCGCCGCGUUAUCUUCUACAAGCCGGAACGUGACAAUAACGAGACGCAAACCGUCAACAAGUCGAACAUUUUCGAUCCACCAAAGGUCUGCAAGGAAGGUUAUCAGCUCGAUCGGCACUCCCGGUGUCGUCGAUUGAUGGGCUAGGGUUCUAGCGGCUCACCUACACCUACUUCCCACCCCCUCCCCGGGCGUGCCCAAGCAACCCAAGUGUGCGUAUAGCUGUCUACCAGGAGACAGCUGUCAGUGUGUCGUGCCGUAUAUUGGGGUCCAGUCUCGGUCAGAAUUUACGCCGCGAAAGUGUGCUCUCACGGCGGCAAACGGAUUGACCCGGAACGUAUACUUCACGCACACACACACCGACAUCAGCACGCCUGAAAACCCAAAGUGCCCCAAAAGACGAACCCACUCUAUCAUGAGAUCAUCAAAUCAAUUACCGCUAUUGCUGCUAGUACUUACCAUGGUACUCCUGGUACCGGCUGCCACCGGUGUGAGGGUAAUUUUUUGGCGUCCACUAUCACCACCUACCAGUACUACCGGCUUGAACAACGCGAACAUAUUGCGGUCACCUAAUCUGGCUGGCAGCAGCUGUGGGAACGGUCAAGUGACAGAUAGCCGCGGUAUCUGCCGUAGUACUAUAUCGUUCUAAAAACCAUACCGCUGCCGGUAGUUAAUUCUCGGAAAUCACAUCACGCCUUAUUAUCGGACAGGUGGUAAUUUCAAGAAACGAAAAAAAGGAUAAGGAUUCUGAUAGCUAAAGCGGCGACCUUCUAGGUUAAUGGGCCAAGUUCACUCACUGGUAUAGAUGGCACUCAAACAUGGGAAGAACAUGGCUAAACGAUGCUACAUCCUCAGGCUGAACAUCCUCAGUGAAGUGGAAGCGCUACUUAGACAAAACCUCAACUACCUAGUGUAAACGUAAUUACUAUUCUAUCGCUUGUUACCCAAGCAAAAACCCCAUACUGUUAAUCUGAAUAAAAGCUAAUAUAAACCGUUCUACUUCACAUCACUGUGCUUGCUGUUUUGCCUAUUAAUUAACCACGUGCGAGCUCAGCAUGUCACAAGAUAAAGGUUCUUUACACCGUUCCAUCGUACUGACCACUUAUCAUUCUUUAUUGACAUCGGUUCGCUUUCUUAUGCCUGGUGUUUCAUAUCUACCACGCUACACCGUGCCAACACACAAGGUCUCACAUAUUUCCCUCCACCUCCAUGUGACAAAUGCUCUACGAAAAUUUCGAACCAAUACCAGAAUGUUUCCUACCGUCUCCCUUCCAGCAUUGCACC